AGACCUGCCCACCCUUGUGUAUUAUUACUUUGUUGCUUUGGCGAGCUGCCUUUGGGCCUUGUAUGCUCGCCAGAGAAUACCAAAACUCUUUUUAUUAAUGUCGUCUGAGUACUAUAUAAUAGUUAAAACUUUCAACAACGGAUCUCUUGGUUCUGGCAUCGAUGAAGAACGCAGCGAAAUGCGAUAAGUAAUGUGAAUUGCAGAAUUCAGUGAAUCAUCGAAUCUUUGAACGCACAUUGCGCCCCUUGGUAUUCCGGGGGGCAUGCCUGUUCGAGCGUCAUUUCAACCCUCAAGCUUAGCUUGGUAUUGAGUCUAUGUCAGUAAUGGCAGGCUCUAAAAUCAGUGGCGGCGCCGCUGGGUCCUGAACGUAGUAAUAUCUCUCGUUACAGGUUCUCGGUGUGCUUCUGCCAAAACCCAAAUUUUUCUAUGGUUGACCUCGGAUCAGGUAGGGAUACCCGCUGAACUUAAGCAUAUCAAUAAGCGGAGGAA
rnacentral:rRNA from 1 species